GACGAACGCUGGCGGCGUGCCUAAUACAUGCAAGUAGAACGCUGAAGGAGGAGCUUGCUUCUCUGGAUGAGUUGCGAACGGGUGAGUAACGCGUAGGUAACCUGCCUGGUAGCGGGGAUAACUAUUGGAAACGAUAGCUAAUACCGCAUAAUAGCAGUUGUUGCAUGACAACUGUUUGAAAGGUGCAAUUGCACCACUACCAGAUGGACCUGCGUUGUAUUAGCUAGUUGGUGGGGUAACGGCUCACCAAGGCGACGAUACAUAGCCGACCUGAGAGGGUGAUAGGCCACACUGGGACUGAGACACGGCCCAGACUCCUACGGGAGGAAGCAGGAGGGAAUCUUCGGCAAUGGACGGAAGUCUGACCGAGAAACGCCGCGUGAGUGAAGAAGGUUUUCGGAUCGUAAAGCUCUGUUGUAAGAGAAGAACGAGUGUGAGAGUGGAAAGUUCACACUGUGACGGUAUCUUACCAGAAAGGGACGGCUAACUACGUG
rnacentral:rRNA from 1 species